AUUGAACGCUGGCGGCAGGCUUAACACAUGCAAGUCGAGCGAGCGGCGGACGGGUGAGUAAUGUCUGGGAAACUGCCUGAUGGAGGGGGAUAACUACUGGAAACGGUAGCUACUACCGCAUACCAUCAGAUGUGCCCAGAUGGGAUUAGCUAGUAGGUGGGGUAAUGGCUCACCUAGGCGACGAUCCCUAGCUGGUCUGAGAGGAUGACCAGUGUGUCGGUAAGUGAGACACGGUCCAGACUCCUACGGUAGGCAGCGGGGGUGAAGCUUGCACAAUGGGCGCAAGCCUGAUGCCUCCAUGCCGCGUGUGUGAAGAAGGCCUUCGGGUUGUAAAGCACUUUCAGCGAGGAGGCGUUACUCGCAGAAGAAGCACCGGCUAACUCCGUGCCAGCAGCCGCGGUAAUAC
rnacentral:rRNA from 1 species